rnacentral:rRNA from 1 species
AUGGAGCAAAUCGCAGAGGGUUUAGAGGUAGAUGUUUCCAAUCAGAAAAAGAGAAGAUGUGGAAGAAAGCCAAAAGACAUUAAUCUAGAGAAAAUCCCUACAAUACCACUGAACAAGAGGUCCACUAUCAGAUCACUCGCUUGGCAACUGGGAUGUAGCCCUACCACACUGCACAGAAAGUUAAGCUCAACUUGA